CCCACUGUACGGUGUCUGCACUCAGCAGUUUACUCCUGCUGGUUUCUUAAAAGGACAGUACAGUAGAAAUUCUGGCAUUGGUGGUUUUUUGGCUUUGUGCAUGUCAUACCUGGUAUUUCUAUUGACACAGUA
rnacentral:snoRNA from 1 species